rnacentral:rRNA from 1 species
CCCUUAGAUGUUCUGGGCCGCACGCGCGCUACACUGACGGAGGCAGCGAGCGUGUCCUUCGCCGGCAGGUGCGGGCAAUCUUGCGAGUCUCCGUCGUGCUGGGGAUAGAUGGUUGCAAUUGUCGAUCUUGAACGAGGAAUUCCUAGUAAGCGCGAGUCAUCAGCUCGCGCUGAUUACGUCCCUGCCCUUUGUACACACCGCCCGUCGCUACUACAGAGUGCCCGUGUCCAAGGAACGGUCGGACCUGUGCGGCCUCUCCGGGCGACCGGAGGGCCGUUACGGGGAAGACCCUUUAUUUGACGCGGGUCGAUGAAGUAAAAGUCGUAACA